rnacentral:lncRNA from 1 species
UCACAGUCUAGAGACCAGACGUGCACGAUCAGUUUCAGGGGUCCCAAAUCGAAGUGCUGGCGGGGCUACCCUCCCUCUGGAGGCUCUGCGGGAGAGUCCAGUCCUCGCCUCCUCCACUUGGGUGGCUGCUGGCACUCCUUGGCUGUGGUCACAUCACUCGAGCCUUUUGGCCACCAUCUCUAAAUCUCUAUCUGCCCCGUCUUCACAUGGCCUUCUCUUCUGUACCUGUGUCAAAUCCAUCUCUGCCUUCCUCUUGUAAGGACAUCUGUGAUUACAUUUAGGGCCCGCCUGGAUGAUCCAGGACCGUCUCUCCAUCUCAAGAUCUUUAACUUCGUCGCAUCUGCAAAGACCCUUUUUCCUAGUAAGGUAAUAUUCAUGGGUUCCAGGAAUUAGGAGCUGAUAUCUUUCGGGCCAUUAUUCAACCUAGCACACCCUCUGUUUUCAGUCCCGUGUCCUGACCGUCUGCUUCUGUCCCUAGUGCCUUUAACGCCUUCUAGAAGUUCCAUGAGGGAAGAUUUGCUUCCAAUCCGUAGCCCCCUCUCUCUGGGGACUUGUGUAGCUUUCUCUUCUCUCCUAGGUCAGCACCAUUCCUUCAAUACUCGUCCACAUUCUAAAAAUGUGCUGACAUUUUGCUAUGGUCUGAAUGUUUGUGUCCCCCCAAAAUUCAUAUGUUCAAAUGCUAACCCCUAAAGGUGCCGGUAUUAUGACGUGGUGCCUUUGGGGGGUGAUUGGGUCACAAGGGUGCAGCCCUCACAGAUGAUGGAUGAGUGCCCUGAUAAAAGAGACCCCAGAGAGCUCCCUAACUCCUUCCACCAUGUGAGGACACAACGAGAAGUCUGUGACCGGAAGAGAGCCCCCACCCGACCACGCUGGCACCCUGACCUUGGAUUUCCAGCCUCCAGAGGAGGAGAAAGGAAUUUCUGCUGUUUAUAAACCACCCAGUCUGUGGUAUUUUGCUAUGCUGCCCGAACGGACUAAGACACAUCUCUCCUUGGCAGUCACCGCAUCCCCCUUCUCCUCGUUCUGGAGUAGAUCAGCUCAUCUGGAAAGGAAGUCCUGCACUCCUAGCCAGAUAACCCAGUUCACUCCGGAAUAUAAAAGAAGAGAUGUACAGUUUUUUUAGCUCCGUUUCAUGGUAAGUUAUGUUUAUCCACCUUCUUUCAUUUAACUCUACAGCCCUACCUGGUUCUAUUAUCCAGCUGUCCACCCCCACAGCUGAUCUCUGGUUAGUGUCUUUUCCUUCCUUCAACAAAUGAGGCCACUGAGGCUCAGAGAGGUUAAGUAAUUUGCCCAAGAUCCCACAGCUGGCAAUUGGUAGAUCUGGAAUUUGAACCUAAGGUCAGCUUGACACCGAAGCCCGCUUUGUUCCUG